AUGAAUUCCAAGCAUGAUAAACCAAAAAAUACUACUGCAAAGACACAUUGUAGAAAACCUACAGAACAUCACAGACAGAUAUAUAUAUAUAUAUAUCGUAUUUAUGUAUUUUUAAUGAUAUCUUCAGGUAGGAAAUGCCCUAUUACCAGGGUGACCAUAUGUCAUGGUAUGUCCAGUAUAAUCCAGUUUUUACUUGUUAUCUCUGUGUAAUUACUAGCACCUCCUUUUAGUCUAAAAAGAUAGUACUAUUUUGGAUAAUAAAUUACACUGUCACCAUUCCAAUUACACGUGUGGCAGAUUAUAUUUUCUAAAGAGGUCACAGCAGUAUCUAUCUCCUGUCCACAUGCCACUCUCCCAUCAAUAUAGGGGUCUAAUUGCUCUCUCCUGGAAUCCAGAAGGGCCUGUGAUACACUCAUAACCCACAGCAUACAACAGAAGUGACACUGCCUGAUGUCCCACCUGAAGACAUAAAAAGCAAUUCUGCUGUAACUUCACUCAAACCCCACAUUAGAGCCCUUAGUCACCAUGUGAGCAGUCUGGUUGCCCUGAAGCAGAAUCAUACUGUGAGGAAACCCAAGCUAACCCAUGUGAAGAGAUCACAUGGAGAAGCCCUGAGACUACAAAGACAGAGAGAUGCCCAGCCAGCUCCCAGAUUCUCUAGCUCUAGUUAUCAUCUGACUGCAACCACAUGAGAGAUUGUGAGCCAGAAGUGUCCAGCCACAGGCUUCCUGGAAUCCUAAUCUGGAUAAAUCAUUAAACAACAAAAUGAUUGUUGCUUGUUAUUAAAAGCCACUGCUUGGGGUGAUUUAAUACGCAACAAAAGAUAAAUGAAGCACUGUGGAAUUCGGAUCAGACGUAAAGUUAAGUGCUAGGGGUCCACUUACCUUGUUUGGAUUUUGAAAUUAGGCAGCAGAUAUUUAAUUAACUUUCUGAAAUUCAAGUUAAACUUGAAGUUAGACUACAUAUAAAUGUUACAUCCAAGUACCCCCAUCCAAAUAUGAAGUUGCAAAAUAAUGUAAUGUGGUAUAAAACAAAAGUACCAAAGAACAAGUCCACCUCUAAUUAUGCCUCUUGUUUGUUUUUAUUAAGUGUGUAUAGAAAAGAGUAUAAAACAUACCUAUUUAUGUUAAAUAUUGGGAGCAAGACGAAUCUGUGUGUACUUUGCCACCCAACUAUAAAAAGGGAACAUAACUAGAACCUUUGAAGUGCCCACACCCAAGUUUCUUUCUGAUUGCCCCCUUCUCCUCUUUCCCAGAGGUAAACAUUAUGCCAAAAUUUGAAUUUUUUAUUUUUUUACUUCUCUGUGUAAUUUUACAGCUCACAUACUUUCCUGAAACAAUAUGUUAUUUAAUUUUUC
rnacentral:lncRNA from 1 species